ensembl:lncRNA
AUGACUCACAAAGACCACAGUGUUCUGUUAAACUUGGGGAAAUAUGUGCUUCUUCUGACAGCGACACUGAGCUUCAGUUUCAGCAAACUCUUACAUGCAAACAGAAUGAUCACUGGAGGAUGAAGAAAAAUGACAACGACAUUUACUUCUGUCGAAAUGGAUACCACAGCUUCCCUGAUGAGUCUGAGAGAAGCAACCUACAUUUCAGUGAAAUUAGUGGUUCAUUUAAGGUUGUGAAAGUGCAGCAGUCAGACACAGGACUGUAUAAAUUAUGUGACCCCAAUGACAAAUGCGCAUGUGUUGAACUGGUCAUGAGACCAGAUGGAAAAAGUUGUGACGAAGCAGCAGGUAGCAUCACUGGAACCAUAACUGGAAAUGUUUUUGCAAUCCUAUUUGUUCUUGUUUUCAUUUCUUCUUAGAAAUAAGAAAAGGAAGCAACACCAAUGCAGCAGAGGAACAUAGAUGUGGAAAUAAAUGUAAGGAGUGAAGCAGCGAGGGAUGAAGAAGAGAACAACCAGGAUAUGAUCAACCCUCUGCUGGGAAGCACAGUGCAAAGUGAAAACACUGCCUCAUGAUGGAAAACUGCUUCAUCACCUUCUUAACACAACUGCAGAGUAAUCUUCUCACACUCCUCCCAGCUCCUCCGCCAAACUCUCCAAGAAUCACAUGAACAAGCUCUUCUUCCUCUUUUGCUUCUUUUUAAUUUUAAAAAGCUUCAUGGUUGAAUCAAGGCUGUUAAAGUUAAAAGUAAAAAUACUAUGGGAAAAGAAAUCGCAACAUUUUCAAACAAUAGCAUAAAUGAGUAAACCCACCCUGUAAAUUACCAGAAUCUAAACUGAAUUGAAAACAAAAGUUUAAAAUCAAAUGGUGACAGCAGCACUUGUUACUGUUAAUGCAAUCAUGAAUCCUUUUUACAAAAACGCUGGAAUAACAAAGUUAAGAAAAUCAUAAAAGAGCUCCAAUGAUGACCAGUGAUGCAGACUCAAAAAUAUUAAAACUAAAAUUAUCUGUAUGUAGACACCUACUUCUUUAGUUUGUCACCAUCUUUAAAUUUGCCAGAUUUAUUGUAAUCAUUGCUUCAAGUUAACAGCAGCCAUCCUCUCCUGUCUGUCAGUGAUACUGCUGACUGAAUUAAUUAAUAGACACCUUUAGUUGGUUAAGAUUUAGAUUAUUAAUAUAACACACAAGUCUAAUGAAAAAUUGUGCUAUACUGUUAUAGAUAUAAAAUACCCAGCAGUGUAUGAAAUUGUUUUGUGUGAGGCAACAGUUGGGCAUUAACAAGAGCUAAAUAAAUAAAUAAAUAGAGAUAAGUAACUAAAUAUUUUAAAAAAGAAAAAACAGAAAAAGUCAGAACUGCACACUACUGGUCACUUUGUUGGAUACAUGGGGUGGCUGUAGCUCAGGUGGCAGAGCAGGUCAGCCACUAAUCAGAAGGUCGGUGGUUCGAUCCCAGGCUGCAUCCUGGCUGCAUGCCAAAUAUCCUUGGGCAAGAUACUAACCCCAUGUUUGCCUACUGGUGGUGGUCAGAGGGCCCGGUGGCGCCAGUGUCCGGCAGCCUCGCCUCUGUCAGUGCGCCCCAGGGCAGCUGUGGCUACAAUGUAGCUUGCUAUCGCCAGUGUGUGAAUGGGUGAAUGACUGAAUGUAGUGUAAAGCGCUUUGGGGUCCUAUGGACUAGAAAAGCGCUAUACAAAUGUAGGCCAUUUACCAUCUGUUUAAAUUCACGUUAACACAAAUAUCAAAUCAUAAAAUGGUCCCAACUCAAUGCAAUACGGCAUGCAGGCUAGUCACUGAAAAGUAAACUAAUAGAAAACAAACCCAUUACUGCUGGUAACACUGACCCAACCUAUACCCAAAGCUACAGCAGUAUUACGGCCAUCUG